UGUGCAUUGGGUUACUGAGGAGACGAGGCGAGCCCUAGGAAAUAUCUGGCCGCACUUCCUCUCUCCCCUCCCCCUCCCUCUGCGCCGCCACAGCUCCUCUUCUUUGUGCGCGGAGGCCAGCGCGGCUCGUCGCGCCACCAUCCGUCCACCCCGCCGCUCGUUUUCCUCCUCUCUCAGAUUGGGGGUGGCCGCCGCAGCUCCAUCUUCUCCCUGCCCUCCAUACCCAGGCGUGCAGCGGCCAGGUCGGAAGAAGCUCGAGCCGCUGUGGUGGUCCAUGGCGCCGUCGCCGUUGCCGUCACGGUGAAAAUCCCCAAUCCAACCUACCUCUUACUUUUCCCCGUACGCACGAGGCAACAGUGGCGGCGCCGCUUGUUCAUCUUCCCCCACCCCUCGCGGCUACCUGCGUCUCCGCGCUCCGGCGUCGCGCUGCCUCUGCACCUCUGCCUCGGCCUCUCCCGCAUCGCUCCACCUCGACCUUAGUCUCUGUCCACACCAUCGAGCGUGGCUGGCAACGUUUGAAGCGAUGGAACCAGCAAGGAAGAUAGAUCGGCACGCCUUGGUUUCCGCUCAUCUUGGAGUGUCCGGUUUUCCCUCUAUCGUGACUGUUCUUUCCCUUUCUCUUGCAGGAUCACCAAGGCUGCUGCUGGUUGUUUGUCUCUGCGGAUUCUUGGCUUCUCCGGCGUGGAAAGAUUCGGUUCUCUAUUGGUUGUUGCUCCUUGGGGCUUGUCUUUAACCAGGAAGCUGGGAUGCCUGCUCUUUCAUGUCGGCUUCUCAUUUGACAAAGCAUAUGUCCGUGGUUUAGAUCCAUGCUUGUGCAACCUACAGAAUUUGUUGUGCUGGCUCUUGCUUGUGCUUUACUGUUUGUCCUUCAGGAGACCAGCACAAUGUCGUUUCCUUUUUGUAGUUACUCAUUCAUACAUGCAGGUUCUUGGGGCAUCCAAUAGAAUGAAACUUUUAUUUCGAUGCCCAGUGCGUCCUUUGUUUGCUUCCUAUUAAUCUGUUCAAUGGCCAGUGUGUCUUUUGUUUGCUUCCUAUUAAUCUUAUCGUCUAUCUUUGUUCUGAAGCAUGAGGUUGCUUGUUCUUUUGUUCCGUUGUGCCCAUCAGAUUUCAUCUGUGUUUGACUCUAGGCUCGUCGUGCACUUGGAGAUUCUUGUAUUUUGUCUGCUUUGCAUGGCUUGUUGCCGACCAAGGUUCUGUUGUUAUGGCUUUCACUUGCUUUGUCAUCUACCGCCUUGUGAUCUUGCCCGUUGGACGCCUUGAUAUCAAGGUCAUGUUCUUGGUGUCUUCGCUGCUUUGCCGAGUAUUGUCUGCUUGCAUCCACCCACUAGCCAUUGAUCCAUUGUUUUCGGCCAUGACAGCUCGACUGAUCAGUCCAGCCCAGUGCCUACACCGCAGAUCAACCACCCUGCAUAGCACUUGAUGCGCGGUCGCUGAGCUGAUCCUUCUGCGUUCAUAGAAGGCCUUUGAUCCACUUCCUUAUUCAAUGGGGCUGACUACAAUCUGCUACACGUGUCGUGGUGUCGCUAGAGAAACUGGCAUGGAGGUCGUUGACAUUACAGACAAGUUCAUGCUUGAGGUGAUGUUCAUUAAGCUGCAGCUCCCACAACCACAGUUCUUCUGUUGCAAAGUUGGGGAAAGAUUUGUAGUCACAAUGAAGUUUCAUCCGAGCACACAACAUCAGCGACGUGAUGAUGAAGCAAUGACACAGGGGUAUAUCCACUUCGGGGAGGAUCUACUUCCACAGCCUAUGUGGCUUUAGAAGAUGCCGAUACUACCAGCUACAGCAGCCUUAUCUGAAUAUCCAGUUAUUACCUCUUGUUGGAAAUAUGCCCUAGAGGCAAUAAUAAAUGGUUAUUAUUAUAUUUCUUUGUUCA